AUUGAACGCUGGCGGCAGGCCUAACACAUGCAAGUCGAACGAGUGGCGGACGGGUGAGUAAUGUCUGGGCAACUGCCUGAUGGAGGGGGAUAACUACUGGAAACGGUAGCUACUACCGCACACCAUCGGAUGUGCCCAGGUGGGAUUAGGUAGGAGGUGGGGUAACGGCGCACCUAGGCGACGAGCCCUACCUGGUCUGAGAGGAUGACCAGCCACACUGGAACUGAGAAACGGGCCAGACUCCGACGGGAGGCAGAAGUGGGGAAUAUUGCACAAUGGGCGAAAGCCUGAUGCAGCCAUGCCGCGUGUAUGAAGAAGGCCUUCGGGUUGUAAAGUACUUUCAGCGGGGAGGCGUUACCCGCAGAAGAAGCACCGGCUAACUCCGUGCCAGCAGCCGCGGUAAUAC
rnacentral:rRNA from 1 species